rnacentral:misc_RNA from 1 species
AGAAUAGCAGGAUUGAAAGGCUUCUGCCUAGUGAUAUCCUGAAAUGAUCUUUUUUUUUCACCUCACAAUUCAGUUGGACCAUAGAAUUGUGAAGUCCAUGUAUUCUGAUUUGUUUCCAACAUCAAUAUUCUGGGUUAGCUCCAGUGUUAGAAAAGUGUGUGAUAUGGACCCAUUACUUUUUCUUGAUGGUUGGUUCUGACUGGGAACUUUGAAGACAAUUUCAGUACAUCGAUUAAAAUGCAUCUGUAAAUCAGGAACAUGUUGUAUCUUAGAAUAAUGUUGAAGACUUCCAUGCCAAAGAGAAUAAGAAAUUAAAAUUGUAAAAGAAGAGAGUGGACAUAAAAUGGUAAAUUAGAAGGCCAAGAUUAUGCAUUCAACCACUUGGUCUUAAAAAAUGAUGUAAUCAAUCAAACGCUUUAGUUGAAUAAGUUGGAAAAAUGAAUUUUGGUGAUUCAAGAAUUUGACAAUAUGAAU